UUUGUUUUCCUUAUGUAGCUUUUAAAACUACGAAGAUGAUGCCGGCCUGCUGUGAGUUUUUUUUUAUUGAUUUCGAGUCUUUCCUGUUUUUUUCUUUGAGAUUGUGUUUGGGAAGAAAAACUUUUGAUCUCUGCUUUCGAAUUCCCCUGUUCUGGACGAAGACUAUGAGGGUAAGUAAGGGUCCUGGUGCUGCGGGUUGGUUGGACCCAAGCUUUCUCUGGUUCUCGCCCCUGUUUCCUCCUUGUGUUCUUCUCUCUGUUUUGUUCUCUGGUCUCUCUCUAUCUACUCCCUGUCUAUUCCUUUGUUUAUUUUUUUCGUUUCUGUUCUCUGAGAAGAAACAAGGAAAAC
rnacentral:lncRNA from 1 species